rnacentral:rRNA from 1 species
GACGAACGCUGGCGGCGUGCCUAAUACAUGCAAGUCGAGCGCAGGAAGCCGACGGAACCCUUCGGGGGGAAGUCGACGGAAUGAGCGGCGGACGGGUGAGUAACACGUAAAGAACCUGCCCUCAGGUCUGGGAUAACCACGAGAAAUCGGGGCUAAUACCGGAUGGGUCAUCGGACCGCAUGGUCCGAGGAUGAAAGGCGCUUCGGCGUCGCCUGGGGAUGGCUUUGCGGUGCAUUAGCUAGUUGGUGGGGUAAUGGCCCACCAAGGCGACGAUGCAUAGCCGACCUGAGAGGGUGAUCGGCCACACUGGGACUGAGACACGGCCCAGACUCCUACGGGAGGCAGCUGUAGGGAAUCUUCCACAAUGGACGAAAGUCUGAUGGAGCAACGCCGCGUGAACGAUGAAGGCCUUCGGGUCGUAAAGUUCUGUUGUAAGGGAAGAACAAGUGCCGCAGGCAAUGGCGGCACCUUGACGGUACCUUGCGAGAAAGCCACGGCUAACUACGUGCCAGCCGCCGCGGUAAAAC